AAGUCGGCGCGGGGAGGGGUAGGGCCAACCGCCUGGACGCCCCAAGGGCGGGCGCAGAUCGCGGAGCCAUGGAUUGCACGUUCGAAGACAUGCUUCAGCUUAUCAACAACCAAGACAGUGACUUCCCUGGCCUGUUUGACCCACCGUAUGCUGGGAGUGGGGCAGGGGGCACAGACCCUGCCAGCCCCGAUACCAGCUCCCCAGCAGCUACUGACAGUCACAGCUGCCCCCACGGCAGCCCCUGUAACGACCACUGUGACCUCGCAGAUCCAGCAGGUCCCGGUCCUGCUGCAGCCCCACUUCAUCAAGGCAGACUCGCUGCUUCUGACAGCCGUGAAGACAGACGGAGCCACUGUGAAGGCGGCAGGUCUCAGCCCCCUGGUCUCCGGCACCACUGUGCAGACAGGGCCUUUGCCGACCCUGGUGAGUGGCGGAACCAUCUUGGCAACAGUCCCACUGGUCGUAGAUGCGGACAAGCUGCCUAUCAACCGGCUGGCAGCUGGCAGCAAGGCCUCGGGCUCUGCCCAGAGCCGUGGAGAGAAGCGCACAGCCCACAACGCCAUUGAGAAGCGCUACCGCU
rnacentral:sRNA from 1 species